UACGUAGGUGGCGAGCGUUGUCCGGAUUUAUUGGGUUUAAAGGGUGCGUAGGCGGCUUUGUAAGUCAGUGGUGAAAUACUCCAGCUUAACUGGAGGGGUGCCAUUGAUACUGCGGAGCUUGAGUACAGAUGAGGUAGGCGGAAUUGACGGUGUAGCGGUGAAAUGCUUAGAUAUCGUCAAGAACACCGAUAGUGAAGACAGCUUACUAGGCUUCUACUGACGCUGAGGCACGAAAGUGUGGGGAUCAAACAGG
rnacentral:rRNA from 1 species